GAUGAACGCUGGCGGCGUGCCUAAUACAUGCAAGUCGAGCGAACGGACGAGAAGCUUGCUUCUCUGAUGUUAGCGGCGGACGGGUGAGUAACACGUGGAUAACCUACCUAUAAGACUGGGAUAACUUCGGGAAACCGGAGCUAAUACCGGAUAAUAUUUUGAACCGCAUGGUUCAAAAGUGAAAGACGGUCUUGCUGUCACUUAUAGAUGGAUCCGCGCUGCAUUAGCUAGUUGGUAAGGUAACGGCUUACCAAGGCAACGAUGCGUAGCCGACCUGAGAGGGUGAUCGGCCACACUGGAACUGAGACACGGUCCAGACUCCUACGGGAGGCAGCAGUAGGGAAUCUUCCGCAAAGGGCGAAAGCCUGACGGAGCAACGCCGCGUGAGUGAUGAAGGUCUUCGGAUCGUAAAACUCUGUUAUUAGGGAAGAACAUAUGUGUAAGUAACUGUGCACGUCUUGACGGUACCUAAUCAGAAAGCCACGGCUAACUACGUG
rnacentral:rRNA from 1 species